CCUACGGGCGGGCUGCAGUGAGGAAUAUUGGUCAAUGGACGAGAGUCUGAACCACCCAAGUAGCGUGAAGGAUGACUGCCCUAUGGGUUGUAAACUUCUUUUCUAUGGGAAUAAAAUGUUCCACGUGUGGGAUUUUGUAUGUACCAUAUGAAUCAGGAUCGGCUAACUCCGUGCCAGCAGCCGCGGUAAUACGGAGGAUCCGAGCGUUAUCCGGAUUUAUUGGGUGUAAAGGGAGCGUAGGUGGAUUGGUAAGUCAGUUGUGAAAGUUUGCGGCUCAACCGUAAAAUUGCAGUUGAAACUGGCAGUCUGGAGUACAGUAGAGGUGUGUGGAAUUCGUGGUGUAGCGGUGAAAUGCUUAGAUAUCACGAAGAACUCCGAUUGCGAAGGCAGCUCACUGGACUGCAACUGACACUGAGGCUCGAAAGUGUGGGUAUCAAACAGGAUUAGAUACCCUGGUAGUC
rnacentral:rRNA from 1 species